UCUCUCUUCUCCUCACACUCCAACCCUGCUCACCUCUCAGCUGGACAGUAAGGGACGUUUACACCACACACUGACAACAUGCUGGGGACCCUCUGCACUCUCAUCAUAGCUCUAACUUAUGUUGAUGCAGCGAAAGUUGUGACCCAGACGCCCGCUGUCCACACAGUUUCUACAGGACAAGAAGUUGUUCUCAACUGCAACAUUCAGAGAGAUGAUGGAUAUUAUGUCAACUGGUAUAAACAUGUUCCUGGUCAAGCUCCUCAGUAUGUUCUGAGAUUUUACCAUUCUCACAGUUCACCCGAGUUUGGAACAGGAUUCUCCUCAGACCGAUUCAACUCUAGAUCUUCAUCAAAAAUAGAUUAUCAGUUCAUCAUUAAGCGGGCAGAGGCAGGAGACACUGCAGUCUAUCACUGUCACACAUGGGACACCUCAGCUAAGGAGUACGUAUCACAGUGAUUUACUCUGUGACAAAAACCUCUUCACAAAGUACUUCUGCUUUUUGAGUGUCUCACACAUCGACUAAUGUUCUCUGUAGCUACAUGAGACU